UUUCCUUUUAUUUAUUUAUUUGAGUCUUUACACAUGCACAUCUACAAAUGCAGGUAUAGUUUCAUUUAUAUAAAUAUCAAUCUUCUUCUUCUUUCUUCUUCUUCCUGUAUGCAGAAGAUGGUUCCCAAUCAAUUGUAUGGGAUUUUUAGUUUGCCAAGUCAGGAGCUCCCCAGGUGUCAGGAGGACGUGACCCUCAGUUUAUAAAGAGGAGCGCAGACCGCGGCCCACAGUGGCCGCUGGAAGGUGUGGGGAGGCCGGGCCACUCUCCCCGUCCAAGUGGCAGGUUCCUGAGCUAAGGCGGGAAUCUGCAAACACCGGGCUUCAGCGCAGGAAGAGCCCGUCCGUGCGACACGCGGCAUGCGGUGUCAGCGCAGCAGCUACCUGCCCAAAGCCCUUUCAGCUCAGCUGGACAACUACUUGGACAGACAUACUGCUGAUUUAGAAUCCUGGUGUUUAGCUGGGCGCUGCGCCACCCGGAAUAAGGACAGCCUUUGCCAAUCUCUGCUGCAGCUGUGUGCGGCCCUGUGACCCAGAGCUAAGUUUCGAUAUGUAAAAGCCAAGUGGCAACUGUAAUUGCAGGACAUGAACUUCAAGAGAGGAAGCUGGCCGCCUUUGUCCCUGUGUAAUGGCUGGGAUAUGGACCAUAACAAGAGGCGCUCUAGCAGCUAUUUUGGACCACGAGGCGCUCUUGGGAAGGGAAACUUUGCAUGGUGGAACAGAAAGAGAAGAGAAGCCUGAGUCUCCAGUGUGGACCGGAGCUCCACACCCACCCUGGGCUGAUGGACUUCACGGAUGCACGAGAGAAAUAAACUUGUAAA